ACAAAAUUUCCCAGUAGGACACGUGACAGGAAAUGAAUCAGUUAUUGUUGUGUUUUACAGUGAUAGAAAAUAAACAUAAAUUAAACAUUUCUUUUUCUAAUUCUAAAUUCUAAUUGUCUCUUAUUUUGUAUUUUAUUUUUAAACUUAAUUUCUUUUUCUCUUCCCCUCACAUGAUGCUGCCCAUGUGGACCACAUCAGGAACAGCCGACACCUGACAUGAUUAAAGUGGGCCAAAUACGUCCCUAAUGAAGAACAAAGUGACGGAGGACACGCGCUGUGACGAGGCAGACUUUAAUCCAGCAGCCUGAAGGACUCCUCUCUGUGGAGUGCGGCCCUCCACCGGACCUGGAUGUGGAUUUGACCAGGUCCUCCAGGAAAGCUGAUUCUACACAGACUCUGUUUGUUGGCCGUAAACACUGGCCUGAUGUCACGUGACCUGACGCUGCAGAGAGAGAGAGAGAGAGAGAGAGAGACAGGAGUUCUGGUUUCACUCAUGUCGAUCCCGGUACCGCGUUCACCUGGAACUUUCCGCUGAGCUGUAACGCUCAGAUAAACAUCUCCUCUGGGAUCCUGAGUCCUGAGUCCUGAGUACUGAGUCCUAAGUCCUGAGUCCUGGGUCCUGAGUCCUGAGUCCUGGGUCCUGGGUCCUGGGUCCUGGUCCUGGGUCCUGGCUGGGCACAGCGGCCGCAGCAGCAGAAGCCAAGUGUAAUCUUCAGCCUGGGCCACAAACAGUUCUUUGAUCAGCGCUGGGACUGAGCUCAUUACUGUGUCACGGCAGAACUGCAGCGAUAUUCCACAGCAGACGUUACCUUGGACCACAGAUCCAGAUCCUGAUCCUGAUCCUGAUCCAGUUCCUGAUAGCCCCGGGCCUUCACCACUGAAGGAGACGGUGUGUGUGUGUGUGUGUUGACGCCCCCUGGUAUAGUGGCGACACCUGGCCAUCCCAUAAUCCCACACUGACCGUCUACACUCGUCCACAGACGACCUGAGAACCUAAAUAUAGACGUGUAUCUUUGACGGCGGCCGUCCUCCUCCUUUGAUCGUCUUCACUUGAGCAAACUUCCAGAUCUUACAGACGAUUAAACCCAGUGAACCCAUAAAAGGACCUUGGAUCCCAGUAUCUUCACACUGGGAUCCAAGAAAAAUGAACAUCUGAGGACCAGGGCCACAGUCACGUUCCUCUGGGACUGACUAGAUCCAACUGAUGUCGUUUUUCAACCUCAUCAUGGGAUGUCAUUCCACAGGUAUCUUUUAUGGAGACCCUGAAUGGAAACCAGAUGGGAGUUUACUCCUCGUGCAACUCCACUUCCUUGGCACACAACAACACCAGAAACCCACAGAGACACAGGGAUGACACUCAGGAGAUGGCCUUAACAGGCACCAGGGCGUCUCAGGUCACUGCGGAGACAUGCCGGUGUCCACGACUCCCUGGGGACCAGCUGCCUUCAUGUCUUUGUCCCUAACGCUGUUGUUCAGCCUCAGCCUCACCCAUUGAGAGAUGGGCUCCAGCUCUCCCUGUGACCCCGGAAGGUUGACGUUAUUAUCAUGGCUCCAGGACUUGAACGGCAGUGAAGGACUCACCAUGACGACUCUCAGGAGGGGGCUCUUCACACAGCAAACACUUCACCCUCCUCAACCCCCCCAACAACCGCCCCCAGGGCAGUAAACCAGCCUGUCACUGUGGACCAGUCAAACCAAAAGGCCCGGACGCAAACACCAGGGAUUCAGAGCUUGGAAAAAUAAAGUUGGCAUCUUGGAACUCAUCUGCCUUGCUGUGACCCCACUGCAACAAUUCUGCGUACUCAAGGGGGGUCCCAACCCCCCACUUUAGGAACCAAUGUCGAAAGCCCGACCGCGGCCACGAGGUGUGGCGGCUCCCUCUAGUGCCGCUGAAGAGCCACCUGUCCACCUGUCACUGCCUCACAAACCUCAGGACUCUUCCUCCUCGGAGCGGGCGUGCCGGUGGGUGAGAAAAUGAGAAGGGAGGCCUCCUGUGGUCACCGCAGCGUCCUUGGUCCCUCCUCCAGCAGGCUGAUUAAAGAGGAAGUGGUGUCACUGUCGUUUUUCAUCCUGUACAUCCACGUGUCCCCUUUAACACAUGGAGAAACAUCUGGAAGGAAAAGGCAUCCAAAAGGAAACGAGGGGAAACGGACAUCUGAAGAGAGACGAACAGAAGAGUUCCAGCUCCAGUGUGGGAUUCCCAAGGCCUCAGGAAAGCGCAGUUUCCAACAUUCCCACAGUAACCACCGAAUGACUCUCUUCCUCUCCUCCUCUCCGCUGUUUAACUGGAGUUUCUUCUCACCAAUGUUGUUGUUAGACAGCGGUUUGGGACGCUGCCCAACACUCGUUGGCCCGUUUUGCGAGGGGACAAGAAGCAGAGGACAGAUGAUGAGGUGGUGGUGGUGGUGGGGGGGGAGAGGAAGGCCUACAAGAAGCUCACCCACUCGUACCUCCAGCCCACAGUCCCUCCAAUCCUACUGUCCACAACAGCGCCACAGCUUUGU